UUACGCCAUUCUAGUUCUUCUCCCUCCCCAUUUUCAUCACCUUCAAUCAAUAUUUGAGAAAACUUUCUAGGGACUCUUUUAUGAAGAGAAACCACCAUCAGUGUUUAUGAGAUAAAGAUGUAUGGCUAUUGCAAUAUUAAAUCUGUUUUGUGUAAGGAUUAUUUCAGGGUUAUCGAAUUUCAGGUGGUGGAGCUGAUUUUUAAUGGUGAUUUUUUUUUUAUGGAGAGAAGCUGAAGAUCUACUUUUUGGGGGGAGUUUAAGAUGUAUGGCUAUUACUAUGUGAAUCUGCUUUGGGUAAGGAUCGUUUAAGUUUUUCCACAUAUUCUCAGCUCAAACAGGAAAAGAACAUCGCGUACACUUUCACCGAAUUACUCUCAAAUGUCGACCUGAUGAUUCAUCAAUUUUUACAGCUUCCAGUUUUUACCUAGAAAUUCAGUUUCUAGAAUAUUCGAAUAAUAAAUUGAUGUAAACCAAGAGUGCACCAAACUAUAUAGAGAACAGUUACCACAGAACACACAUAACGGUAAGUAAAUAACACAACAAUAUUUUACGUGAAAAACUCCCAACUCACGAGAUUCAAAACCACGACCUAUACUCGUAGGAUUUCAACUUCACUAACUAAGCGACUUUUAGAUUACAACCUAUUAUAACCUAUGAUUUAAACUCUUAAUCCCUCACGGGCCUCACCUACUUGCAAUAACUAUAUUGCAAGCCUCUUUGUAAUAACUCUAUUACAAAGCAACAAACCUUGACUAACUCUAGUCAAGUAAUUAAACCAAAUAGUUGUUUAAAUUUGUCCUACAAAGACACUUCUUGAAAGUAGUGUGAAAUUACAAAUGAAGAACAAAUAAUAAAGACUCAACAAACCUAAGGACUUAAGAUUUCUUUAAUCUUUGGAUCUGGUCCUUGAGGUUGCAGCAGCUUUGUUCUUGAGAGAGGUGGUGGCUAGCACUUGAGAGAAAAAAAUAAUUUUAGGUUUUGCAAGUGUUAGAGAAUAAAAUCUCUUGCCUCAUGUUAAUAAUAUGUGUGUGUGAGGUCAUCAAGGAUGAUGCAAUAAAGUGUCCUUUAGUUUGGCCUUAGAAAGCUACGGUUGUGUUGUUGUACCGCUGCCAGACGGUACAAUGCAGCAUCUUUUACACUUGUAGAGUUGACUGCACGACGACCAGAGGAACUGAUCCCUAUAUGUUCCCUGUGUUGUUCCCUUAUCUGAUUUCACUAAGAAUUGAACGAGACAUAUGAUUAGUUACUCUGAACGUAAGGGAACUAAUUGUAUUAGGUUCUUUAUCUGGUUCUCUCAUAAAGUUUGUCAAAUCAUCAAAACAAAAGACGCAUAACUUAUCAUAAAUAUUACUUUAUGUGCUUGCUAAAUGCAAGAUUUUUCAUUCCUUCGUUCAAAAUUGUUUCCAUGAGCUUUGUGAGUAAUAUGAUGAAAAUGGAAAGAAAUUUUGUGUUUUAACUUGGAAGGAGGGGAGGGAGAAAGAGGAAAAUAUGGGGCAGGAGAUGAUUUUCUUAAGAAUAAUGUUUAACUUUUUCUUUAUCUUCUUUUCUUUCAUUUUUCUGAUUUUAAUCUUUUUUCUCUUUGUCCUAGAUUUGACGUGUCAUCCACCUCAAGGCAAGUGAAGAACACACAUUUUCGGAGGGUUUUAAAAUACUUGUUGAAGCGUCCGAACGAAACUUCGUGGAGUGGAGGGACCGGAAUGUCAAAACAGUGCAAGUACAAGUGUUCAUUAGACUAUUCUGUCUAUUAAAAAACUUACUAAUGGGAUGGAUUUAGGCCCAAAUUAUUGUGUACGUGAACUUAUGGUAUUUUCGUCAAACUAGGUAUUUUAUGUAUAUAUUUCCUAAAAUUGAUGCAAUAUUAUUUG
rnacentral:lncRNA from 1 species